rnacentral:rRNA from 1 species
UGCCAGCCGCCGCGGUAAUACGGAGGGUGCAAGCGUUAUCCGGAAUCACUGGGUUUAAAGGGUGCGUAGGCGGCUUUAUAAGUCAGAGGUGAAAGCCCACAGCUCAACUGUGGAAUUGCCCCUGAUACUGUAGAGCUUGAAUCAGGUUGAGGUUAGCAGAAUGUGGCAUGUAGCGGUGAAAUGCUUAGAUAUGCCAUAGAAUACCAAUUGCGAAGGCAGCUAGCUGGAUCUGUAUUGACGCUGAGGCACGAAAGCGUGGGGAGCGAACAGGAUUAGAUA